rnacentral:rRNA from 1 species
UGGGGGAUAUUGCACAAUGGGCGAAAGCCUGAUGCAGCGACGCCGCGUGGGGGAUGAAGGCUUUCGGGUUGUAAACCUCUUUCGCUAUCGAACAAGGCUCGCUUAGGGCGGGCUGAGGGUAGGUGGAGAAGAAGCGCCGGCUAACUACGUGCCAGCAGCCGCGGUAAUACGUAGGGCGCGAGCGUUGUCCGGAAUUAUUGGGCGUAAAGGGCUUGUAGGCGGCUUGUUGCGCCUGCUGUGAAAACGCGGGGCUUAACUUCGCGCGUGCAGUGGGUACGGGCAGGCUUGAGUGUGGUAGGGGUGACUGGAAUUCCAGGUGUAGCGGUGGAAUGCGCAGAUAUCUGGAGGAACACCGAUGGCGAAGGCAGGUCACUGGGCCAUUACUGACGCUGAGGAGCGAAAGCAUGGGUAGCGAACGGG